GUUUGCUCUUGCUGUUUUGCAGUGAGCCAUGAAGAGUAGCUGUACCAUGCCACCCUGCCUUGGAGUCAGCUGAGCAUAGACUGAAACCUCCAGAAUUCUAAAGUGAAGCACCCAGCUGUGCACAGCCGUGAUGUAACAGUGACUGAUUUCUGCUUCCCACCCUCUCUGGCACCACAGAUGUGGACCUGGUACUGCACAAGCCCCCCUCCAGAAGCAGAGACCUACCCACUGAGAGUUGGUAAAUGAUGAAUACCACUUCCUUGGCUCAGAGCAGGACUGAGCCUCCUUUUCACAGAGCAGUGACUGAGUUACAAACACUUCACUGUUCUGCCUUUCCCUCUUUCCAGCUCCCAUUUCUCAGCCUCUCGCACAUGGCAGACAAUUGACAACCCCAGGCCUAAGCCUCCUACUCUUGUUCCCUGAAUGGCUUCCUAAAAUAAUUACCUACAUGCAAA